GGUUCGAUCCUGGCCUGAUUGAACGCUGGCGGAUGCUUUACACAUGCAAGUCGAACGGCAGCACGACUUCAUUCAGGGCGAGUGGCGAACGGGUGAGUAAUGUGGUCGGAACGCCUAGUAGCGGGGGAUAACUACGCGAAAGCGCUUAAUACCGCAUACACGUUCUCUGGGAAAGCGGGGACCUUCGGGCCUCGCACUAUUAGAGCGGCCGAUAUCGGAUUAGCUUAGUUGGUGGUAACGGCUCACCAAAGGCGACGAUCUGCAGCUGUCGAGAGGAUUUCCACCAGCCAUACCUUCGGGACUGAGACACGGCCCAGACUCCUACGGAGGCAGCAGUGGUGGGAAUUUUGGACAAUGGGGAAAACCUCUUGAUCUCAGCCUGUUCCGCGUGUGCGAUGAAGGCUCUCGAAGAAAAGUACACUUUUGGCAGGGAGAAACGGCACGGGAUAAUACCCCGUGCAACUGACGGUACCUGCAGAAUAAGCAAUCUGCUAACUACGUGCCAGCAGCUGCGGUAAUAAUACGUAGGGCAAGCGUUAAUCGGAAUUACUGGGCGUAAAGCGUGCGUGGCGGUUCGAAAGAAAGAUGAACUUCAGGAGCUUAACUUUUGAACUUAUUUUUAACUACCGAGCUAGAGUGUGUCAGAGGGAGGUGGAAUUCCGCGUGUAAAGCAGUGAAAUGCGUAGAUAUGCGGAGGAACACCUGAUGGCGAAGGCAGCUUCCUGGGAUAACACUGACGUUCAUACGAAAGGUGUAUGAAACAGGAUUAGAUACCCUGGUAGUCCACGCCCUAAACGAGUCAACUAGCUGUUGUGGGGCUUUCGGGCUCGGUAGCGCAGCUAACGCGUGAAGCUGACCGCCUGAGUACGGGGUCGCAAGAUUAAAACUCAAAGUGAAUUGACGGGACCCGCACAAGCGGUGGAUGAUGUGGAUUAAUUCGAUGCAACGCGAAAAACCUACCUACCCUUGACAUGUCUGGAACUCGAGAGAUUUGGAGUGUCGCGCGAGAACCGGAACACAGGUGCUGCAUGGCUGUCGUCAGCUCGUCGAGAUGUUGGGUUAAGUCCCGCAACGAGCGCAACCUCCUUGUCAUUAGUUGCUACGAAAGGGCACUCUAAUGAGACUGCCGGUGACAAACCGGAGGAAGAAGGUGGGGAUGACGUCAAGUCCUCAUGGCCCUAGUGGGUAGGGCUUCACACGUCAUACAAUGGUCGGGACAGAGGGUCGCCAACCCGCGAGGGAGCCAAUCCCAGAAACCCGAUCGUAGUCCGACCGCAAAGUCUGCAACUCGACUGCGUGAAGUCGGAAUCGCUAGUAAUCGCGGAUCAGUAUGUCGCGGGUGAAUACGUUCCCGGUCUUGUACACACCGCCCGUCACACCAUGGGAGUGGGUUUUACCAGAAGUAGUUAGCCUAACCGUAAGGAGGGCGAUUACCAUUGCAGGAUUCAUGACUGGGCAAAGUCGUACUGAAGGCAA
rnacentral:rRNA from 1 species